CCUACGGGCGGCAGCAGUGGGGAAUAUUGCACAAUGGGCGCAAGCCUGAUGCAGCCAUGCCGCGUGUGUGAAGAAGGCCUUCGGGUUGUAAAGCACUUUCAGCGGGGAGGAAGGCGUUAAGGUUAAUAACCUUGUCGAUUGACGUUACCCGCAGAAGAAGCACCGGCUAACUCCGUGCCAGCAGCCGCGGUAAUACGGAGGGUGCAAGCGUUAAUCGGAAUUACUGGGCGUAAAGCGCACGCAGGCGGUCUGUCAAGUCGGAUGUGAAAUCCCCGGGCUCAACCUGGGAACUGCAUUCGAAACUGGCAGGCUAGAGUCUUGUAGAGGGGGGUAGAAGUCCAGGUGUAGCGGUGAAAUGCGUAGAGAUCUGGAGGAAUACCGGUGGCGAAGGCGGCCCCCUGGACAAAGACUGACGCUCAGGUGCGAAAGCGUGGGGAGCAAACAGGAUUAGAUACCCGUGUAGUC
rnacentral:rRNA from 1 species